UGGGGAAUAUUGCGCAAUGGGGGCAACCCUGACGCAGCAACGCCGCGUGCGGGACGACGGCCUUCGGGUUGUAAACCGCUUUCAGCAGGGAAGAUAGUGACGGUACCUGCACAAGAAGCCCCGGCUAACUACGUGCCAGCAGCCGCGGUAAUACGUAGGGGGCGAGCGUUAUCCGGAAUUAUUGGGCGUAAAGGGUACGUAGGCGGUCUAUUAAGUCAGGUGUGAAAGCGUGAGGCUUAACCUCAUUAAGCACUUGAAACUGAUAGACUUGAGUGAAGGAGAGGAAAGUGGAAUUCCUAGUGUAGCGGUGAAAUGCGUAGAUAUUAGGAGGAAUACCGGUGGCGAAGGCGACUUUCUGGACUUUUACUGACGCUCAGGUACGAAAGCGUGGGGAGCAAACAGG
rnacentral:rRNA from 1 species